rnacentral:lncRNA from 1 species
AAUUUUUUGAAAUGCUAUGUUUUAAAAGUACAUACAUAUAUUAUAUAUGUAUAUGUUUUAUUUGCAUAAUUUUACUUUUGCUUUUUAUUUUUUACUUAUAUUAACCAAAAAAAAAAAAAUUAUGUUUGUUUUUAUACAAUUUUUUUCUUAAACGCAUAAAGUAUAUACAUAUAUAAGUAUACACUGCAACAUACAUUUUUUUUUUGUUUUUAAAUUGCUGUACCAUUAGUAAAUUUUUUCUUUACUAUUCAUUCAUUCACGCAUUAACAGUAUCAAUCCAGUAUAUACAUACAUAUAUAACAUACACACAUAAAUACAUACAUAAAUACAUACAUAAAUACAUACAUGUGUUAUAAUUAGUAGUAGUAAUCACAAUCAAACAGUAUAUAUAACUAUAUACAGAAUGAAAACAAAAAAAAUAAAACAAAAACCAAAACAUAAAAUAUGUUUUGUUGACAAUUUAAAUGACUCAGUUGCUCCCAAGACCAGUAUCAAGAAAAACAGAAUAUUCAAAAUACAAAAAACAAAUAACAUCUCUUUAAAAAAUAAGAAACAAAAAGAAAUAAAGAAAAUAAUAGGAUUAGCAAAAAAGUUAAAAUUAAAAAAAAAGUUUCAGAAUAAUAAUAACUUAGAAGAUGAUGAUUACAUAAGAAGUGAUGACGAUUAUUAUAGUGAUGAGGAAGACCAUUAUAUAAAUGAUGAUUAUAAAAAAGAAGCUAAUAAGUUUUCAAAUUUUGAUUGUGAUAGUGAUGUAGAACAGUAUAUAAAUGAUAAAGACCUUUUAGAUAAUUGUAUCACUUGUACUACUACUUAUAAUGCAAGUAAUACAAACAAUUUUGAAAAUGAUUGUGAUUCCAAUGACAUUUUAAAAAAUUAUAAUGUACAAAUAAGUAACAAAGGUCUUAAGCAAGUUGAUCAAAAUGAUAAUAAGGAUAAACCUGAACAAGCAACGGAUUUUAACAGUGUCGUCGAAAAGUGUUAUAAAACAAUAGGAGAAAGUUUAGCUAUUUAUAAAAGUGGUAAAUUGCAUCAGGCACUUACAUUAUUAGUAAAAUCACCACGAUGGUUGGAAUUACUUAUGAUUACACAGCCACCGAAAUGGUCAACACAAGCUACUUUCGAAGUUACUAAAUUGUUUUCAUCUAAUUUAAGAGAAAAAGAAGUUGCUCAAUUUUAUGAGUAUAUUUUAUUACCUUUGAUAGUUCAACAUACAAUAGAAAAUAAACGACUUAAUCCGAU